UUGAUGCUCAAACUUCUGUAAGCUGCUGCUUAGCUCUGGAGAUGACUAAAUUCUGUGCCCCAAUGGUUUUGGGCUCUCUAUGUUCCUACAAGUAUGCAUCUUGUGCAUAUGUUAGAAUUCCUCCAUUUCCACUGGCUCAGCAGUUCAGCACCUUUCUAAUGAUAUUUUCUAGCCUAUUCUACAUCCAGGAAUGCAGCCUUCCUCCAUUUCAGACAUCUGGAGAUGCUGGAGAUGCUCAAGCUGCUCAGUAAUGGCACUCUCAAAACUCCAGUUAUUGAUGGUAAAUACCAUGGAACCAGCACAUUAAAACAUCUACCCUGGUCAGCACAGGAAGCCAGUGAUAAAACUGAACAUGGAAAACAGUCAGUGGAGUCUCCAUACCUUUUGUUGACAGCAUCCAAUUGGACUUGGAGGGAAGCCUUGUGUUGCUCCACCACAUCCUUGAGUGGUACCGUGGGAUGCUCGGCGUGCUCUCCCUCGGUGCACUCCCGGCACAUGGCUGUCUCACAGGACUGGCAGUAAAACUCCAUCACCUGGAAAAGUGCACAACUCUGCACUCAAACGUCGCAGCAGUAGCAUAACUCAAAGCACA